UUUAAUUAUCAACAAGUACUCUGUGGAGUGGGUAUUCGUGUUCUAUUUUCAUAGAUGAGGAAUCAGACUCAAAAAAGGUUAAGUAAAGUUCCAAGUUCACAGGUGCUUGGCAAGUAGCAGAGUCAGGAUUUGAACUAAGAUCAUUAGGACUCAAGGUUUGAAUGCAAUUCUAAGGAGAGGCUGUUAAAUCGGAGAAGGUAGAGCUCAGAAGCUGCAUGCAUUGCCCAAACUUAUGCUCAGGAAGAAAAUGUGGGAGAUGAGGAUUUACUGAUGAAGAAACUUUUAGAAAUUUCCUACUGCCAAAGAUGCAAACAUGUGACAUUUAUGAAAGGUGCCCUGGUUCUCAAUCACACUGCUUCAAAGAAUGAAGAGGUAGACCAGACAAAGAGUGGUGGACAGCAUAGCAAAGUUUCUGACAGUAAAGUUUAUUGAAUGAUUGUACAAAGCUCCCAAAGAGGGAAGGGACCGGAGAGGGUUACCUUAUACUUUUUUCUCUUCAUUCUCCUCCUCUUGAUAAUUUUCUUCCACUUCUCAUUACUGAGUUAUAUAUGUUUUUAUUAUGUCUCAGCACUUGGCAUGAAGUUGUUGACGUCAAAUCCUCUUAACCAUAUUCGAGAGAUUGAUAAUUGUGCUCUUUUAGUAAUGACGGAAUGCAGCACCAACACAUACUCCUCAUAUAAUCAGCUCACUCCCAUAAUUGCAAUAAACUCUAUUCUGAAAUGUUAUCUAUUGAGAACCAUAAAACUUUUAAACCGCCAAGAGGACAUUUGCUACACUUAACAAGACAGCCAAGCCCAACCGCAUGUCCACUGUCUUUGACAUGGUUAUGGUUUUCUGACGAUGACAAGUCCACAAAGCAAAUUCCAAUCUACGAUGUGACAGAGAAAAGGUUUUGUUCAAGUCGGCCUUGUCACGAGGACAUGCCCAGGCUAACCUACUUGAGAUGUAUGAGAAAUGUGGAGAAGAACCAAUGCCAUAAUAAACCAGCUGAUGGCGAGCCAGUGAGAAUGCUCAGUGAAGAGCAGCUGAAGUGCUUCCUCAAUGCAUACUUUUGAUUACAGACAUAUAAGUGACUCAGGUAGAGACUAGGAAAGCCAUCUGCUGACCCAUAGACUUAUGGGCAAAUAUAAAUGUCUAUUGUUUUAAGCCACAGAGUUUGAGGAUGAUUUGUUAUGCAGUACCAUUGUGGUGAUGGACAAGUGAUACAGGCACUCAGGGUUCUUUGCAAUGUGGUCUUGCCCACGUCUUUAGCUUCGUGUCCCACCAUUCCAGUGCACUUUAAAUUCCAGACAACUGAUUUAACUGAAGUUCUUGAAAAGGGACAUGGUCUCUCAUGAAUUUCUAUAUGCUAUUUUCAUUUCAGAAAUGCACUUCAUGCCCAUCUUUGCCCCAUCUUCUAUCAAGACUUAGGUCAGGUGUUGCUUCUUUGAAAAGCCAUGCUAAUGCCCCAUACUGGGUUAAGUGUUCCUUCUCUGUGCCUGCAUGGGAAUCUCUAGUACAGAAAGGCACCCGUAUGUUUACAAUUUAGUAUACUAAGUGUUCUCUCUCCUCUAUGAGCAGAAGCUUCCCAAAGUCAGAGACUGGCUAUUCUCUGUAUCCUGAAUGUAGUGUUUGGCAUAAAACAGAAUCUCUACACACGCUUGUCAGCUUAUGAAAGACAUUUAUUUACCUUAUUGGAAUAGAGUUCUAAAUCUCACAAAGAAAGGGAAAAUUCUAAGAGAACAGGGAAGGCUUCAUGGAAGAGAUAGAAAUUGAAAUAUUCUUUAGAUUUAAGAGGUGGAAAGGGUUUGGGAGUUAAUGAACAUUUCAGGCCGAAAUAGUAGCCAUGAACAAAGGCAAAGUGUUACACUAGCGGUUGAAGCAUCCAGUACUAUUGUAGUAGAAGAUUCAUGAGUAGGUGUAUUGUAAUAAAGGCAGGGGCAGAGGCAG